GGGUUGUGAGGUUAAGCGACUAAGCGUACACGGUGGAUGCCCUGGCAGUCAGAGGCGAUGAAGGACGUGCUAAUCUGCGAUAAGCGUCGGUAAGGUGAUAUGAACCGUUAUAACCGGCGAUUUCCGAAUGGGGAAACCCAGUGUGAUUCGUCACACUAUCAUUAACUGAAUCCAUAGGUUAAUGAGGCGAACCGGGGGAACUGAAACAUCUAAGUACCCCGAGGAAAAGAAAUCAACCGAGAUUCCCCCAGUAGCGGCGAGCGAACGGGGAGCAGCCCAGAGCCUGAAUCAGUGUGUGUGUUAGUGGAAGCGUCUGGAAAGGCGCGCGAUACAGGGUGACAGCCCCGUACACAAAAAUGCACAUACUGUGAGCUCGAUGAGUAGGGCGGGACACGUGGUAUCCUGUCUGAAUAUGGGGGGACCAUCCUCCAAGGCUAAAUACUCCUGACUGACCGAUAGUGAACCAGUACCGUGAGGGAAAGGCGAAAAGAACCCCGGCGAGGGGAGUGAAAAAGAACCUGAAACCGUGUACGUACAAGCAGUGGGAGCCUCUUAAUGGGGUGACUGCGUACCUUUUGUAUAAUGGGUCAGCGACUUAUAUUCUGUAGCAAGGUUAACCGAAUAGGGGAGCCGAAGGGAAACCGAGUCUUAACUGGGCGUUAAGUUGCAGGGUAUAGACCCGAAACCCGGUGAUCUAGCCAUGGGCAGGUUGAAGGUUGGGUAACACUAACUGGAGGACCGAACCGACUAAUGUUGAAAAAUUAGCGGAUGACUUGUGGCUGGGGGUGAAAGGCCAAUCAAACCGGGAGAUAGCUGGUUCUCCCCGAAAGCUAUUUAGGUAGCGCCUCGUGAAUUCAUCUCCGGGGGUAGAGCACUGUUUCGGCAAGGGGGUCAUCCCGACUUACCAACCCGAUGCAAACUGCGAAUACCGGAGAAUGUUAUCACGGGAGACACACGGCGGGUGCUAACGUCCGUCGUGAAGAGGGAAACAACCCAGACCGCCAGCUAAGGUCCCAAAGUCAUGGUUAAGUGGGAAACGAUGUGGGAAGGCCCAGACAGCCAGGAUGUUGGCUUAGAAGCAGCCAUCAUUUAAAGAAAGCGUAAUAGCUCACUGGUCGAGUCGGCCUGCGCGGAAGAUGUAACGGGGCUAAACCAUGCACCGAAGCUGCGGCAGCGACACUAUGUGUUGUUGGGUAGGGGAGCGUUCUGUAAGCCUGUGAAGGUGUACUGUGAGGUAUGCUGGAGGUAUCAGAAGUGCGAAUGCUGACAUAAGUAACGAUAAAGCGGGUGAAAAGCCCGCUCGCCGGAAGACCAAGGGUUCCUGUCCAACGUUAAUCGGGGCAGGGUGAGUCGACCCCUAAGGCGAGGCCGAAAGGCGUAGUCGAUGGGAAACAGGUUAAUAUUCCUGUACUUGGUGUUACUGCGAAGGGGGGACGGAGAAGGCUAUGUUGGCCGGGCGACGGUUGUCCCGGUUUAAGCGUGUAGGCUGGUUUUCCAGGCAAAUCCGGAAAAUCAAGGCUGAGGCGUGAUGACGAGGCACUACGGUGCUGAAGCAACAAAUGCCCUGCUUCCAGGAAAAGCCUCUAAGCAUCAGGUAACAUCAAAUCGUACCCCAAACCGACACAGGUGGUCAGGUAGAGAAUACCAAGGCGCUUGAGAGAACUCGGGUGAAGGAACUAGGCAAAAUGGUGCCGUAACUUCGGGAGAAGGCACGCUGAUAUGUAGGUGAAGUCCCUCGCGGAUGGAGCUGAAAUCAGUCGAAGAUACCAGCUGGCUGCAACUGUUUAUUAAAAACACAGCACUGUGCAAACACGAAAGUGGACGUAUACGGUGUGACGCCUGCCCGGUGCCGGAAGGUUAAUUGAUGGGGUUAGCGGUAACGCGAAGCUCUUGAUCGAAGCCCCGGUAAACGGCGGCCGUAACUAUAACGGUCCUAAGGUAGCGAAAUUCCUUGUCGGGUAAGUUCCGACCUGCACGAAUGGCGUAAUGAUGGCCAGGCUGUCUCCACCCGAGACUCAGUGAAAUUGAACUCGCUGUGAAGAUGCAGUGUACCCGCGGCAAGACGGAAAGACCCCGUGAACCUUUACUAUAGCUUGACACUGAACAUUGAGCCUUGAUGUGUAGGAUAGGUGGGAGGCUUUGAAGUGUGGACGCCAGUCUGCAUGGAGCCGGCCUUGAAAUACCACCCUUUAAUGUUUGAUGUUCUAACGUUGGCCCCUGAUCGGGGUUGCGGACAGUGUCUGGUGGGUAGUUUGACUGGGGCGGUCUCCUCCUAAAGAGUAACGGAGGAGCACGAAGGUUGGCUAAUCCUGGUCGGACAUCAGGAGGUUAGUGCAAUGGCAUAAGCCAGCUUGACUGCGAGCGUGACGGCGCGAGCAGGUGCGAAAGCAGGUCAUAGUGAUCCGGUGGUUCUGAAUGGAAGGGCCAUCGCUCAACGGAUAAAAGGUACUCCGGGGAUAACAGGCUGAUACCGCCCAAGAGUUCAUAUCGACGGCGGUGUUUGGCACCUCGAUGUCGGCUCAUCACAUCCUGGGGCUGAAGUAGGUCCCAAGGGUAUGGCUGUUCGCCAUUUAAAGUGGUACGCGAGCUGGGUUUAGAACGUCGUGAGACAGUUCGGUCCCUAUCUGCCGUGGGCGCUGGAGAACUGAGGGGGGCUGCUCCUAGUACGAGAGGACCGGAGUGGACGCAUCACUGGUGUUCGGGUUGUCAUGCCAAUGGCACUGCCCGGUAGCUAAAUGCGGAAGAGAUAAGUGCUGAAAGCAUCUAAGCACGAAACUUGCCCCGAGAUGAGUUCUCCCUGACUCCUUGAGAGUCCUGAAGGAACGUUGAAGACGACGACGUUGAUAGGCCGGGUGUGUAAGCGCAGCGAUGCGUUGAGCUAACCGGUACUAAUGAACCGUGAGGCUUAACCUUA
rnacentral:rRNA from 1 species